AGUGAACGCUGGUGGUAGGCCUAACACAUGCAAGUCGAACGGCAGCACAGUAAGAGCUUGCUCUUACGGGUGGCGAGUGGCGGACGGGUGAGGAAUACAUCGGAAUCUACUUUUUCGUGGGGGAUAACGUAGGGAAACUUACGCUAAUACCGCAUACGACCUACGGGUGAAAGCAGGGGAUCUUCGGACCUUGCGCGAUUGAAUGAGCCGAUGUCGGAUUAGCUAGUUGGCGGGGUAAAGGCCCACCAAGGCGACGAUCCGUAGCUGGUCUGAGAGGAUGAUCAGCCACACUGGAACUGAGACACGGUCCAGACUCCUACGGGAGGCAGCAGUGGGGAAUAUUGGACAAUGGGCGCAAGCCUGAUCCAGCCAUACCGCGUGGGUGAAGAAGGCCUUCGGGUUGUAAAGCCCUUUUGUUGGGUAAGAAAAGCAGCAGGUUAAUACCCCGCUGUUCUGACGGUACCCAAAGAAUAAGCACCGGCUAACUUCGUG
rnacentral:rRNA from 1 species